rnacentral:rRNA from 1 species
CCUACGGGGUGCAGCAAUGAGGAAUAUUGGUCAAUGGGCGGGAGCCUGAACCAGCCAAGCCGCGUGAGGGAAGAAGGUACAGCGUAUCGUAAACCUCUUUUGUCAGGGAACAAAGGCGGGGACUAGUCCCCGGAUGAGGGUACCUGAAGAAAAAGCAUCGGCUAACUCCGUGCCAGCAGCCGCGGUAAUACGGAGGAUGCGAGCGUUAUCCGGAUUUAUUGGGUUUAAAGGGUGCGCAGGCGGCCUGUUAAGUCAGCGGUAAAAGCCCGGGGCUCAACCCCGGCGAGCCGUUGAAACUGGCGGGCUGGAGUUGGAGAGAAGUACGCGGAAUGCGCGGUGUAGCGGUGAAAUGCAUAGAUAUCACACAGAACACCGAUUGCGAAGGCAUCUCACGAAUCCGCGAUUGACGCUGAUGCACGAAAGCGUGGGUAUCAAACAGGAUUAGAUACCCCUGUAGUC